GCCAAUCGCAAAUUAGGAGAGAGAGAGAGAGAGAGAGAGAGAGAGAGAGGGGUUUCGCUCGUUACCCAACCCCCCUUCCGUCGAAACCCUAGCUUUUCUUUCGACAACGAUCGAUCACGUCUUCCGACCUCCCCUUGGCCGCCUCCCUUUCAAUCAGCGGCUUCCCCUCCCUGUUUCCAAUAUCUCGAUUUGCUUUUGCUUUAUUUGUUUUCGUUGUUUUCUGGAUCUUCAGUUGGUCAGGCCAGGGAAUUACGAUUGUUUCGCAUAUAUUUCUGAUUCAGUUGGUCGUUUCUUGACAGGAGAAUUGGAUUGCAUGAUUUCUUGGCGAAGCCCGGAGGAGGAUGAUCGCUCGUCGGCCGUCUUGGCGAAGCCCUCCGUUGCUCCGUCACCCAGCUUCGCGCCAGAGACGCCCUUUACCCCCUCCUUCCUCGCCGACAAGAAAUCGAUCCGGAGCUAACAUUCACGAAUCGCCCCAAGCUUACGUGAUCGGAUCAUUGCCGCAUCGAACAUUCGGAUCCGGGUCAACAAGCGACCGGAUAAAGAAGGCUUAGGAAAUUGAAUCCCAUGAAGACCGCUUUUAUAAUGGCGACGACUCCUCCCCUCGUUCGCAUACUCUCGGUUACUUGCCCUUUUUCUACGUCUCCAUAAUCUCAGAUCGCGGUGGCGAUCGUCGGAGGGAUCAGGGAAGUGGAAGGGAUUGCUAACAGCGCCGAGACCGAGCAGCUCGCCCGCUUUGCCGUCGAAGAACGUAACAAGAAAGAGACUGCUCUCUUGGAGUUCUUGGUGCGCGUGGUCAAGGCGAAG